AGGAAUAUUGGUCAAUGGGCGCGAGCCUGAACCAGCCAAGUAGCGUGAAGGAUGAAGGUCCUACGGAUUGUAAACUUCUUUUAUAAGGGAAUAAAGUCAUCUACGUGUAGGUGUUUGUAUGUACCUUAUGAAUAAGCAUCGGCUAACUCCGUGCCAGCAGCCGCGGUAAUACGGAGGAUGCGAGCGUUAUCCGGAUUUAUUGGGUUUAAAGGGAGCGUAGACGGGUCGUUAAGUCAGCUGUGAAAGUUUGGGGCUCAACCUUAAAAUUGCAGUUGAUACUGGCGUCCUUGAGUACGGUUGAGGCAGGCGGAAUCCGUGGUGUAGCGGUGAAAUGCUUAGAUAUCACGAAGAACCCCGAUUGCGAAGGCAGCCUGCUAAACCGCCACUGACGUUGAGGCUCGAAAGUGUGGGUAUCAAACAGGAUUAGAUACCCUGGUAGUCCACACGGUAAACGAUGGAUACUCGCUGUUGGCGAUAGACUGUCAGCGGCUUAGCGAAAGCGUUAAGUAUCCCACCUGGGGAGUACGCCGGCAACGGUGAAACUCAAAGGAAUUGACGGGGGCCCGCACAAGCGGAGGAACAUGUGGUUUAAUUCGAUGAUACGCGAGGAACCUUACCCGGGCUUGAAUUGCAGACGAAUUGCUUGGAAACAGGCAAGCCGCAAGGCGUCUGUGAAGGUGCUGCAUGGUUGUCGUCAGCUCGUGCCGUGAGGUGUCGGCUUAAGUGCCAUAACGAGCGCAACCCUCGUGUCCAGUUACUAGCAGGUUAUGCUGAGGACUCUGGACAGACUGCCAUCGUAAGAUGUGAGGAAGGUGGGGAUGACGUCAAAUCAGCACGGCCCUUACGUCCGGGGCUACACACGUGUUACAAUGGGGGGUACAGCAGGCAGCUACCGGGCGACCGGAUGCCAAUCCCGAAAGCCUCUCUCAGUUCGGACUGGAGUCUGCAACCCGACUCCACGAAGCUGGAUUCGCUAGUAAUCGCGCAUCAGCCACGGCGCGGUGAAUACGUUCCCG
rnacentral:rRNA from 1 species